UUGUUCGCAAUGGGCGCAAGCCUGACGACGCAACGCCGCGUGGAGGAUGAAGACCUUCGGGUCGUAAACUCCUUUCGACCGAGAUGAAUUUCCGCCGACCUAACACGUCGGCGGGGUGACAGUAUCGAGGGAAGCAGCCCCGGCUAACUCCGUGCCAGCAGCCGCGGUAAUACGGGGGGGGCAAGCGUUGUUCGGAAUUACUGGGCGUAAAGGGUUCGUAGGUGGCCGGCUUAGUCAGACGUGAAAUCCCUCAGCUUAACUGGGGAACUGCGUCUGAUACUGGCUGGCUCGAGGACAGGAGAGGAACGCGGAAUUCCAGGUGUAGCGGUGAAAUGCGUAGAUAUCUGGAGGAACACCGGUGGCGAAGGCGGCGUUCUGGACUGUUUCUGACACUGAGGAACGAAAGCCAGGGGAGCAAAC
rnacentral:rRNA from 1 species